GAAAGCCGUGUGCGGGAAAACCGCAUGCACGGAUUGAUGAGGGAGGGCAGGGGCAGGGCCGAAUAGGGAGAUAUCCUCGUCUAACGAAAGUGACGGGAACGCAUACCGAUUCUAUUCAUGCUCGAACCUGUUCUCUACUCUAC
rfam:Geobacter sp. M18, complete genome.